rnacentral:rRNA from 1 species
AGGGGAGUACGGUCACAAGAUAAAAAUUCAAAGGAAUAGACGGGAGCCCGCGCAAGAGGUGGAGCAAGUGGUUUAAUUGGAAGCAACGUGCAGAACCUUACCAGCCCUUGACAUAGAUAUAGUAGUUUCCGGAGAUGGAUUAGUCAGAUCGGGUGGAUAUCAUGCAGGUGAUACAUGGCUGUCGUCAAAUAGGUACGUGAGAUGUUCGGUUAAGUCCGGCAUAUGAGCGCAACCCACACCUUUAGUUGCCAGCAUUUAGGAUGGGCACUCUAGGGGAAAUGACCGAGAUAAGCGGGAGGAAGGUGUAGGAUGACGUCAAGUCCUAAUGGCCCAUACGGGUCGGGAUACACACUUUAUACAAUGGCAUAUACAGGGGGUGAAUCCCAAAAAGAUAUGUCAGUUCGGAUUGUGAUCUGAGUCUCGACGUCAUGAAGUCGGAAUCGAUAGUAAUCGUGGAACAGCAUAACACGGUGAAUAUGAUCCCGGUCCUGGUACUCACCACCACGUCACACCAUGGGAGUGGGGUUUACCCGAAGGCCGAGUGCCGACCUGCUUACAGGGGGCAGCGGACCACGGUGAGCUCAGCGACUGGGGUGAAGGGGUAACAAAGUAAACAAACAGAAUUACUUCACACUGGCGGG